UAAUGGCGUCUUCAUAAGCAAAAGCAAUUUAGUCCGUCUUCUGUUAAUUAUUCCUUAUAAUAGGAAAGAAUGUAAUAUCUGGCAAUGUGUUACAUCUAAUGAUUCAUGAGAAGACAUGACUUUCUAGUGUUUACCUAUAAUCGCUCUAUAAAACAAAAUGUCUGGGGAGAAGAAAUUAACAGCAAUCUAAAUUGUAAAUAUAUGAGUAUGAUCUAAAAAUUGGAGCCAUAAAGCAUUCCAAACUAUGAAGUAACUUUUAAUAUUACUUUCCCUCUCUGUGAAGGAGACAUAUACUACUGGGUCUAUUCAGCCAUCUUGAUCUCAACUCUAUGAUCUUGGCCAUAACUGUGGACCACUGACUGUGAAGACUAUUUGCCAAAUUCAACAAAAUGUAGGCUAAAAUGCCAAGGGCCAACAUAUAUAUUCUCAUAUUUCUCCAAAUGUCACAGGGCUAAGAGGUCUAUCCAAAAUUUCCUUCACUGGAGUAACUAGAUCUGGUCAACAUGGCCAAACCAUUGCAGAAUCUGGAAAAACUCUGUAGGGACCUAGGUUCACUCCCAAAGAAUGGCAGGGAAAGCAAAGUUGAAGGGGAAGUCAUACUGACAAAACUUUUCCCCUUAUUGUUACCUUGGCCUUCAGACAGAG
rnacentral:lncRNA from 1 species